rfam:Vitis vinifera, whole genome shotgun sequence of line PN40024, unoriented chromosome 1, chr1
AUGUGGUUACUCAUUUCCAAUAAAAUUGAAUCGAUACAAAGAAUAUUAGCAUGACUCGUACACGAACGAUACACACAAAUCGAGAAAUGGUAUUAGAUUUG